AUAUGAAUCACCUGGUUACCUUGUUAAAAUGCAGAUUCUGAUUAUCUAGGUCUGAGGUGGGGAUUGAUUUUGCAGUUCUGACAAGCUCACAGGUGAUGCUGGU
rnacentral:pre_miRNA from 1 species